rnacentral:rRNA from 1 species
CUACGGGAGGCAGCAGUGGGGAAUAUUGCGCAAUGGGCGAAAGCCUGACGCAGCGACGCCGCGUGAGGGACGAAGGUCUUCGGAUUGUAAACCUCUUUCAGCAGGGACGAAGCGAAAGUGACUGUACCUGCAGAAGAAGCGCCGGCUAACUACGUGCCAGCAGCCGCGGUAAUACGUAGGGCGCAAGCGUUGUCCGGAUUUAUUGGGCGUAAAGGGCUCGUAGGCGGUCUGUCACGUCGGAUGUGAAAACUCGGAGCUCAACUCCGGGCCUGCAUUCGAUACGGGCAGACUAGAGUUCGGUAGGGGAGACUGGAACUCCUGGUGUAGCGGUGGAAUGCGCAGAUAUCAGGAAGAACACCGAUGGCGAAGGCAGGUCUCUGGGCCGACACUGACGCUGAGGAGCGAAAGCGUGGGGAGCGAACAGGAUUAGAAACCCGAGUAGUCU